rnacentral:rRNA from 1 species
CAAUAGCGUAUAUUAAAGUUGUUGCAGUUAAAAAGCUCGUAGUUGGAUUUCGGAGUGGGUCAGUUGGUCCGCCGCAAGGUGAGUUACUGGCUGGUCUGCUCUUCUUCGCAAAGACUGCGUAUCCUCUUUAUUGAGCGUGCGUAGGGUUUACGACGUUUACUUUGAAAAAAUUAGAGUGUUCAAAGCAGGCUAUCGCUUGAAUACAUGAGCAUGGAAUAAUGGAAUAGGACUUUGGUCUUAUUUUAUUGGUUUCCGAGACCGAAGUAAUGAUUAAGAGGGACAAUUGGGGGCAUCCGUAUUUCGUUGUCAGAGGUGAAAUUCUUGGAUUUACGAAAGACGAACAACUGCGAAAGCACUUGCCAAGAGUGUUUUCAUUAA